rnacentral:rRNA from 1 species
AUCUGGCUCAGGAUGAACGCUAGCGACAGGCCUAACACAUGCAAGUCGAGGGGCAGCGCGUGGUAGCAAUACCGAUGGCGGCGACCGGCGCACGGGUGCGUAACGGGUGUGCAAUCUGUCCAUAGUCGGAGGAUAGCCCGGUGAAAACCGAAUUAAGCCUCCAUGUGUCACGUGAAGGCAUCUUUAUGUGAUGAAACGUUAAGGACUAUGGUUGAGCACGCUUCUGAUUAGAUAGUUGGUGAGGUAACGGCUCACCAAGUCGACGAUCAGUAGGGGUUCUGAGAGGAAGGUCCCCCACAUUGGAACUGAGACACGGUCCAAACUCCUACGGGAGGCAGCAGUGAGGAAUAUUGGUCAAUGGACGGAAGUCUGAACCAGCCAAGUCGCGUGAAGGAUGAAGGUUCUAUGGAUUGUAAACUUCUUUUAUACGAGGGUAAAGUGUGGUACGUGUACCAUAUUGCAAGUAUCGUAUGAAUAAGCAUCGGCUAACUCCGUGCCAGCAGCCGC